ensembl:lncRNA
UGCAAAUGAAAAUCGUCUCAGAGAUGUUACUUAAAUUCAGCAGAAGACCUUAGUUGUCACGCUAUUCAUUCAGGGUGAAAUCAUUUGCAUUCAAUCGGAGGCCGUCCGUUUCCCGCAGGGAUACCGUAGCCCAUUCUGAUCCAGGUGUUGCAGGAUUAAUUUCCUCCUGCGACGAAAGGGAUUAAAUCUUAACGAUGCCAGAUCUGCGCAGGUCCAAAGGCUGCAGGGCAUUUGACAGAACCCGGCAAAUGUUGCUGAAGUCCGAAAGCCCUCUGCUUUCCACUGUUCAGAAGGUCAUGUUACGCGGCCAUCUGUGUUCCAGGGCACAGGGAGACGUCUCAGGAUCGUCUGCUUUCAGCUUGUUAGAGCGAAGGACGUGCUCAACACAUCCCGACGUGCUGUCCAAUCUCUCCACGCGGCCAACCAGUUUAGACGGGUCUCCGCAGCGCCGGCCCGCACACGUCAAGGGGCUACUAGGUCGUCAGCCGGUUAGCGGCUAGAGUCCCCUUCCCAUUCAGAGCCAUUACCCUGUGGCGGCGGUUCAGCACCCCGGGAUCCCUCUGGAUUCCCCUAUCUUGAGUAUUAAUCUACCUGUCUGGAUGGUAAUAUCAAGUGAUGGAUGAUAGCCAGCCAAUGCCAAAGUCAGCUCUUUCUGAGGAGGGCUAUCUGGUUCUGACUCACUCAGGCGCAUAUCUGAAUGUCACUGUUUUCAAAGGGGCCUUUUUGUGUUCAUAAAUGUACAUAAGGACAGUUUUUUAAAGUAUUUUUGUUAUUUAUCACUGGGAUGUGCAAAAUGCGGCAAAUGGUUCCUUUCUAAUUUGUUUGAUUAUGUUACAGUUAAAUUUACAAUUAUGCUGAGAACAUUUUCAUGGUUUGUCGUUGUAAAUACAGCUUUCUCUGUUUUGUAUGUUCCUAAUGCAACUGCAAGCAAAGUAAAUGUGUUAUUUUGAACCAAAAGGUCUAAUUAAGGACAGUGCGUUCCCAUAUGCUACAAUAUUGUUGUGGUGUGUUUGCAAAGGUGUUUCUGGGCAGAAGUAUUUACCUACACGGUUAUGAGAAUUAAUGAGCGUCAAUACAAACGGUGCCAGAUAUUCAUUUGACGAGUCGAUUUAGCUGUGUUCACAAACUAUUUGCUGGAUGUAAAGAAACAUUGGCUGAUUUUAUAUUAAACCGAGGAGAGAUCUUAAGAUCGAAAACUUGGCACCUCGACACAAACAUCAGAAAGAAAACUGCCGCAUGUAAACUGUGUUUUAUCGCCAAACCCCCCCUCCCUUCAUUCUCAGUCAGGGACUAAUUCACCUCAUUUGGCCAUUUCACUUGAAAGAGCCUUUGAAGAGCUAGCUUUUGAGCUUGUUUUGACAGAUAUUUAUUAUGUUUCAUUUUCCCCUCUUAUACCUCCGAGUAAUUUUAGCCAGAGAGUACUAAUUAAAUUGACAGAUUUUGGUUCUAUUUAUGGAGAGGAUGAGGAAGAUGACAAUUAUGGUGAUUGUCUUAUAAUUUUCUUCACAGCCGUCCUCGCCGUCGCUGCCGUCGUCGUCGUCAUCAUCAUCAUCAUCAUCAUCUUGGUGGUUAUAGCUACAAAACAGCACGAGCCAGGUGCAAGCAUGCCAGUGAGCUCAAAGUCUGCUGUUCUGCUGACUCCCUCCAUUUGGGCAUUGUUUAGCAUCCAAGCCAUCAAAAGCCAAUCGCUACUAAACUGAAUCCAAUAGCAGGACAUGUAAUUAGUGCAGGCCAGUUGCAGUACAAGCCCCC